GUAGGUCACACCGAGUGGCCCCUCCUCCUCAGACACAGGGCUGUGCCUGGGGAGGCCCAAGAAAGCCAAAGAAUAGGCCACGGGCUCAGAAGACAGGGUGAGAAACACUUAGUCAGCAUAAUCCCUGCCAAUCACACCAGGGCUUCCGGUAAUACCAAGAGGGGAGCGGGUGAGAAGGUGGAUUCUGAAUCUGACCACGUAACUCUGCACUGCCACGAAGGCCCCAGCUCAUGCCCCGCGCUCAGCAGAGAGUGGGCUUGGGCCUCAUCUUCCUGUAACCGGGGGCUGGGGACCACUUUGAUCUCACUGUUCCCCUUGCUGCUGUUCACACCAGUACGGCGCCUUCAAGAAGUUAUCCCAGGGCAAUUUUCCACCUUUGAAGUCCCCGGAAAACCCUGCCAAAAGCCGUUCUGGUGUGAGGAUGCUGCAGGGGCAGGCAGCCUGGUGCCGCGGCCUCCCGGGUGCCAGAACUGGAACAUCGAGACAUCAAAGGCGAAGGUGGCAGCAGGGCGAUGAGUAAGCUCCGCUGCAGGCUUGGCCUCGGCCCCAGAAGCCUUCUCCUCAUCUCCCAGUGGUGGCUGAGCAGGACUAGGGAGACGACCCAGAGAGCCUGGAGACCUGGCUUGGGGGAAGCCCUGUGGAUGCUUCUGGAGGCGGACACUUCCCUGCUGCUCUGUGCCUGGUAAAGGCACCGACCACUGCAGAGCAGAAGCAGAGUCCAAUCCUGGCUCCAAAGCGCCCCUGACUGCAAAGCUUUGGUACUGUUAUUACCACCGUGAAACAGGUGGGGAAACUGAAGCAUGAGGAGCUUGAGUAAUGUGUGUUAGAUCACGCAACCAGUAGUGGCAGAGCUGGAAUUCCGACCUGGGACUGCCUCCAAAGUUCUUGCGUAAGAAUACAGCUGCUACACUUGCCCUUCUUCAGCUGAGACCAAGGAGGGAAUUCUGAUUGAAAGCAAACCAGGGAGGAAAGAUGCACUAGCACUGACCUGUAACAGGUCAAUCUGUGCCAUGGCAUGGCGAGACGAAGUGGAGAACCCAUGUCUCAUUGGAAUCCCGGAUCAUCGUCUCCACGAAGGCUGUCUUCUGCAGCACUCCAGGGACUCACGGCUCUGGGCUUAUUGCUCAGUGUCAUGUGACAGAUGUUUUAGUGUUUAGUUGGAACCCUGGAUCUGCAGCAACCAUCUUGCUACCAACUUGAGGGUGAAGCCAGCCGUAAGAAUAGCAGGCCGGAAAGAUGGAAGAAACCUGGCUUUCCAAUGUCAUCAUUUGGUUGCUGAAUCAAUUGUACCUAAAGCUCACUCUAUCUGUUUUACCUUGAGUUAGGGUUGCCGUUGCUUGCAGCUAAACGCAUCUUCUUUUUUUUUUUUUUUUUUUUUUUUUUUGAGAAGGAGUCUUACUCUAUCACCCAGGUUGGAGUGCAGUGGCGCGAUCUCAACUCACUGCAACCUCCACCUCCCAGGUUCAAGUGAUUCUUGUGCCUCAGCCUCCCACGUAGCUAGGAUUACAGGCGUGAGCCACCACGCCCGGCUUAUUUUUGUAUUUUUGGUAGAGAAGGGGUUUCGCCAUGUUGCCCAGGCUGGUCUUUAACUUCUGGACCUUAGGUGAUCCACCCGCCUCAGCCUCCCAAAGUGCUGGAAUUACUGGCAAGAUCCACCACACCCAGUCUAAAUGCAUCUGAAUAUAACAUGACUCUCCUAGAGAAAAACCUGGAACCCAGAGCACCUGAAUAGAAACUCUUAAUUAUAUCAAUGAGGAAUAGUUAACUUAGCCAAGUUUCCAUUGAAUAUGAAGAACUGUAAAAUAAUGUCAGUUCUAGCCAAGAACUGAAAAGUAAUGUCAGUACUCUAUAAUGUGUAAUUCAUAGUUGCUACAUGUAAUCAGGCUUGGCCAAUUGUUUCCAGGAAGAUGGCACCCUCAUUUCUGAAUGAGGAUGACCAUUUUCCACUAAUCCAGAGGUAAAACAGUCAUUGUAACUGCACUGAAAUUUGCUGUAUCAAGUGAGACAUGAAGGUAAAUGUCAUUGGCCCAGAGUAAUUAGUCUUUUCCAGUGCUUAAAGGAAGGGAGAGAAACUAAUGCCUAUUGAGUGCCUUCAAAGCUUCUGCAAUGUGCUGGUACCCACAUGUUUCCAAUUAUUCCUCACAACACUAUGGAGAGGUUAUUUUGCCUGUUUUGCUGAUCAGGGAACUGAGACUCACAGAGUGACACCAACCCAUCAGUAUUUCAGGUUUCUGGGGAGGGUCCAGAGAGCAAGGGGGAAGCUGCUAAUUGCUUGUUGGUUCAAGAGAAAUGUUAUCUCAGUAGACUAACGUAUGGACUUUCUGAUGUCAGAAAAUGCAAACUAUGUAGUGUAACCUGUUUGCCAUUUUUUCUUUGUAUCCGCAAACUGACAGCAAAAUAUAUUGCACAAGUAUUAUAAAUCUGUUCAGUUCAAGUGCCAGAGAACAUUUACUCUGCUUCCUUCAUGAGUGGUGAGCAUGCCUGCUCCCCUACAAACUCACCAGCUCAGAGCAUUAUCAGGCUUCUCAUCUCUGCCAACCUGGUAAGUACAAAGGGCAUCUCUUGUAGUUUCGGUUGCAUUUUUCUCAUUAUGAGAUUGAGCAGCAGACAAUGUCUUUAAAAGACUUAUUUUGCUCUGGGUUUUAAUCUUAAAAUACUCUAAAUCCUCUUAGAAGUAGGUAGGGUCAGAUCUUCAAUCUGGAUGGAUUUACGUAAUGGGUCUAUGAAAGGGAUAGAAAGUCAAAGCAAGGGGGUGAGGCGGGGGAAUGAUGCGAAGUCAAAGCCCUCCCCCUCGGGGGCCCCUAGCCCAUCCCUGAUCCCUCACCCUUUGCAGGGCAUGUCCAGAGCUGCCACUGCCCUGGGCCUCCACCCCACAGCCCAGGACCACACCUUAACCUGGAAAGUCGUGGACCUCCUCAGGGGAGCUCAGGGAUCAGAUGGGCCGAUGGGUGUUACUGUGGCCAGGAGCACUGGGUCUUGAGUAUGUGGGUGGAACUUUCCCUCAUCCCCUGACCACGUCUAACCACAUGGCCUCUCCACUUUGAUAGUGGCGAGAAGAGUAGCCUCUUGCUUUUGCAUGUUUUCCUAAUCACAGCGUGCUUUCUUGUCUGCUAUUUCAUUUGACUUUUUUCAACCAGCCGCUGAGGUGGGGAUUAUUAGCACGCCCUUUGCAGAUGAGGAAACUGAAGCCCAGGGAGCUUUGGCAACCUGCCCAAGGUCACACAGCCAGUGAAGGAAAGGGCUGAAAUCAAACCAGGCCUGUCUGACUGCAAGGCAGGGUCUUACGGCUGCCUCCGGUGGGUAGGUCCGGGACCCAGCUGGUUUCCGUCCUGUGGCUCAGGUGCGAGGAGAGCCUCCCUGGGCCACCUGGGGAAGUCUGACUGACGUGCCAGAUCCUCACAGAACAAAGCACCCCCUCUCUCAGCACCAGGGAGCUCCUCCAGGAGCACUUCCUCCCAUGUCUGUGUUCGCCGUUAAGACUGGACACACCAGGAUGAUCUUUCAACUUUGGGUCCAAAGGCCCUCAGUGGAUGUAAAAUAGGUACAUGAGGCCUUGAACUGAACAUUUUUUUCACUUCACCAUAACCUGGAUUUUCCCAGUUUAGGAGCAUCUGUUUGUCUUGAUAACGUUUGGAACAAAGUGAAAAAAACUGGACUUUGAAGAGAACUUCAGGUGAAUUACACAUUUAAGUCAGAUUUUCCAUGUCUUUGUCCCAUGUUCAGUAAUUCAAGCUGUUAGGAGCCCUCAACUUUGUACAUAUAUUUCCUUCCUAUCUCUGCCUCUUCAUACCUGGUACUUACCGUGGAAUUUGAAAUCUUUCUGUGGCUGUAAGCAAGAAAGGCGGGAAAAAUACAAGAAGUUAAAGGGGAUUGGAUGGUUCAGAUUUGGUUGAUGAAUGAGAUGGUUUAGAGGCAUGUCUUGUAAGAGAUAAUUUUCUAUGUGCCAGGUACUAUUUAUGAAUCCCACAUUAUCUUAUUAAUGCUCACAACAAGCCUUGGGGGUAAAUAGAUUAUCAUCGCCAUUUCACAGAUUAGGAAAGUGAGGUUUCAGCAGUCAAUUGCUCAAAGGUCUCCUGCUAGUGAAACAGUCGUCUAUCCAAACAGUCUGAAUGACCUGUGCACAUGGGAACGUGCCACGCAAGCCAAGGGCAGGAAGGAUGAGAAGAGGUGGGCAGAAAGCCAGCUGGGAUGAAUGAAGGACCUACUACGUGCAGGCCCAGGGUCAGACAUUUUAUUUUCUUGAUUGCACUUCAGCCUCCCAGCAGCCCUGUUUUACAGAUGAAGAAACUGAGGCUCAAAGAGCUGGAGAAAGUUGUUGCCCAGGGUCCUGUGGAGAGAAAACUCAAGCUCCGGCUGUUCCACUACUCUGGGACACCACCCCCAGUGGGAACCCCACUUUUACAAGGAUUCGAAGGUAGGUGAGGACUUAUCUCCUGAAAUAAUUAGUAUACUUACUUUUUUGUUACAUAUUCCCACUAAAGGUUUGCAGCCCCACCCAGCUUGAAUAUCAGGAGAAUGGCAACAAAAUCUGGUUCAAGGCUCACAGAAUCCACGAAAGAUGCCAGCCCCUCCACGGUUGGAGAGUGAUUCACAAAUGUGUCUUUAAGGACUUUCCCAGGCCGGGCACAGUGGCUCACACCUGUAAUCCCAGCAAGCCGAGGCGGGAGGAUCACCUGAGGUCAGGAGUUUGAGACCAGCCUGGCCAACAUGAUGAAACUCCGUCUCUACUAAGAAUACAAAAAUUAGGCAGGCGUGGUGGCAUGCACCUGUAAUUCCAACCACUUGGGAGGCUGAGGCAGGAGAACUGCUUGAACCGGGGAGGCAGAGGUUGCAGUGAGCCAAAAUCACACCGCUGCACUCCAGCCUGGGCAACAGAGUGAGACUGUGUCUCAACAACAACAACAACAACAACAAACAGAAAAAAAAGAAAAAAAAAGGACUUCCCCAUCUCAGAGCAGAAGACAAACCCAGGUGACUCUGAGUCUGCACAGAAAAGGCAAGGGUGACCAAGAGUGAGGAGGUUAAGCACCUGUUGCUUUCAGCUCAGGUCCUGACCACAGCCCUUAAUAAGGACAAACCUCUCAGAUUGCUGCAGCCUUCAAUACGCAUGUUCCUAUAGUGCCUGGCCAAUAAGAAGUACUUACACAGUAGCUGUUAUUAUUGUAAAGGCGGCGCAAAGAGUUAAGGAAGGCCGGUAGCUAAGCUGAAUCUGAGUUGCAUCUUGUAGGCCAUGGUAUGUGAAAGAAGGGCAGGCCAGGAGGGGGAACAGAGUGAGUAAAGCCCAGAGGCAGGGGCAUGGAAAAGCAGGGAGGAGUUAAGCUUGGGGCAAAUAUCCUAAAUGAAGGGGAAUAAAAGGCAACAAAGUUUGCAAGUUGCACCGGGGCCACAUCUUGGAGUUGUUUGAGAACAUGUCCCAUGAGGCUGCAUUUAACACCAGCCACUCGCGCUUCCACCCCAACAGCAGGAGUAUCACAUCCACAUGCCAUGUGCGCAAUUCCUUACUUUAUAUCCUCCUCUAAGAUAAAUCUACCCUCCCUCUUUUUUAAGCAUAAGAGCAUUUAUUCUAAAAGGAAACUUUUGGCCAGGCAUGGUGGCUCACGCCUGUAAUCCCAGCACUUUGGGAGGCCUAGGCUGGUGGAUCAUGAGGUCAGGAGUUCGAGACCAGCCUGACCAACAUGGCAAAACCCCGUCUCUACUAAAAAUACAAAAAUUAGCCGGGUGUGGUGGCACGUGCCUGUAGUCCCACCUACUCGGGAGGCUGAGGCAGAAGAAUUGCUUGAACCCGGGAGGCAGAGGUUGCAGUGAGCUGAGAUCACACCACUGCAGUCCAGCCUGGGCAACAAAGCAAGACUCUGUCUCAAAAAAUAAAUAAAUAAAUAAAUAAAAGGAAACUUUUGCUCACUAAUGGAAAUGGAAGUGGCACCUGUCAUAGGCAGAGACAAAUUGUCAAAGUAAACAACUUUUAAGUCUCACUAGACACUCCUGCCCCAGCAGAAUCUGGUCAAAAGCUAGGUCAGCAAAUUUCAGAGGCAGUAUUAAGGACAAAGUAGCAACAAUCCAAACUUUCUUUUUAGGUACUCAGAAAGACUAACAGAACAUUGAGAAGGGGUGUUAGUCACAUCCCCAAACUGCAAGAGGCCAGAAGAUAGCGAGGGGUCUUUCAAACAAUCUAAAAUCUGAGACCCCAAUGUUGGAAAAGAGAAGGAAGGGAAUGGGUUAAAGUGCCAGUUGCUCCCUCCUCAGAUAGCAGGGCCCUGGACAUCCCUAAGAUGUCCCCUUCCUCUUUCAUCCUUCCCUGAUUCCAGCCUCCCCACCUUCCCCAGGCUGGCUUGCCUGAUUUUGUGAGCUCUUCAGCCGGCUUAAAGUGUAAUUCUGUAUUUCUGAUUCUAUCUGUGUUCCAGGAGGCAUUAUCUCUAUCUCUGUAAUAGCUUCUCAAGCAAAAACAUUUUACUGGGUAAAAGAGCAAGGAAUAGGCAUGACCUGAUGCUGAUUUAAAGCAAGAUUCCAGGCAAGCCCCAGAGCCCUCUCUAAGUAGCCUCUCUCCUUUCUGCUGUCUAACGAAACAGCUCCUAAUGGCCAUGGUAUCAUAUUGUAUCUCAUAUUUACACAGCACUCGGCACACAUUCACUUAUUCAGCGGACAUCCAUUGAGGGCCUAUUAUGUGCCAAGUCUUCUGGGUGCUGGCAAUCAACAGUGAACAAAGACCCGUGAGGUUCUUGCUCUACUUGGGAAAACAGGCAAUAAACUCUGAAACAAGUAAAUAAACACGAUCAUGAUGAGGCUACUGAAAAAGCAAUGUGGUAGCAGCGUGACGAUGAUGUGCCAUGGGAGACAGGUGGCAACAUCAAAAAAGGUAGACUGCCCCCGCCCUCCGAAGAGGUGGCAUGUGAGCAAGAAGGAGCCAGCCAAUGGAAAGCUCUGAAAGCAGAGUCUUUUAAAAACAAAACAAAAUCAAAAAACAAAAACAGGGCUCAAAGAAGAUGUCUGCACUUCUGCCAGACGGGGCAGAAAGAAGAUAAUGGUGCUCCAAUCAGGGAGACUGUGGAGGCAGUACAGGUGACAGGAGGCAGGGAAACGAGAAUUAGCCAGAAACACAGUAGGUUUGCCAUGUCAGUCAGACACUCGAGUGUGUUCUUGCUCUUCUCAACAAACCAUAAAGUAAGGACGAUCAGUGUUUCCCAUUUUACAGACAGGAAAACUGAAGCUCGGGAAGGCUACCCAGGUACAUAGGGGCAGUGGUGGGAUGUGAAUCUAUGGUUUAGGAUGCUGACGCCAGCACUAUCCCACCUGCCUCAUGGUAGAGCAGUGUCCAGACACAGAGGUGGCAAUGCAGCAGCUCAAGUGGCAGCUCCAGCACUGCAUGUGUUUUGUCCGUUCUACAUGGGUUUGGAAAAACUCACCUGAGCUAGCGAUCAACUCUUAAAUAUAACCCUUCACUCAAAAAUCUGGCUGUCUAUCUGAAAAUAUUUGAAGACCUGGUCAUAGUGGGACCAUGAUUUGAAUGACAACAAUGGGCUGGAGCAGUAUCUCUGCCCACCUUGAGAGAGGGAUGGGCACUCUGUUUUUCCACAGCCCCCACCUCUCCCGAUUGCUUGCCCCGGCCCCUUCACUCCUCUCCAUUGCAUUCAUGGCCUCCCUAUGCAUUCGGCUUUGAGGCCCCAGCUCUCUAGUGAUGAAAUAUGUGGGAAGAUCCACAAAGCCCAGCAAACGAGGAGUGACCAGAGGAAUUGAGUUACAGUUCCUCCCUAGAACACUUUCCUGCCUUUCUGAUGUAAUCACUUUGCGCAAACAGUAGGAAAUGUUCAGAAGAGCUGCUACAAGGCGGUGAUUAAGAGGUCAGGCCUGGUUCUUAAUUCUAGCUUCAGCAAGUCCUAUCUGUGGGACUUGGGCAAGUUCUAAAAACCUCAGUUUCUUUAUCUGUAAAGCGCAAAUAAUAAUAAUGCCUACUUUAUAAGUAGGAUUAGGGGAAACAGUAAUUUAGGAAACGUGCUCGGAAUGAUGCUAGUUUCGUGGUGAGUAUCCAAUAGAUGGAGCCGUAGUUGUCUUUCUCAUCUUAGAAAGCAGCUGAUUCUCCCAUGUCAUGACAGUGUUUGUGCAACUCCUCUGGAAUUCUCUCCUUUCUUCCUUAGGAGAGCAUUUUCUCAAUGUUCCUCUUUAUCUUUCUCCAAACACAAAGACAAAUCUAAGAGGAAAAAAAAAAUCUUCAAACUGGGUCGCAGAUACUCAGCUUCUUGUCAAUUCUCAUUAGGGUUUAAAAGCUCAGUCUCCUGCAUAUGCCCAAAGAUAAAGCAAUCCCUUCCAUUCCUAAUUCAAAGAACCAAAAAAAAAAAAAAAACAUGUGGUUGGACCUGGUUGAAUAUAUAAACUUUUGGGGAUGGCAAUAAACUAGGCAAAGUCCUGGUUAUUCAAUUUAUUAGCUCAGUUGUGCAACGUAGAAAUAAACAGAAAAUUACUUAUAAUUUUACAAUAAUAUUCAUUUAGAAACAUCACUUUUCUCCAUAUACGUGUUGCAUGAAACAGCUUUACUCCAUUCUUUGCCACACAUAAGGAGGCCGAGGAGGGAAGAUGGCAUGAGGCCAGGAAUUCAAGGCUGCAGUGAGAUAUGAUUGCACCACUACACUUCAGCCUGGGCGACAGGGUGACACCUCAUCUCUAAAAAAUAAAAUAAAAUAAUAAAAAAAUUUUGGAAAUUUUUAAAGCGUCUGCUCCACAGAGCCACAUUUUGCAUUGUGCAGUUUCGUUUUUCAGACCUUUCUCCUCUCUUCCAUCUGACUGCCCUGAGAUCCAGCACUUUUUGCUUCCACAUCUGAGGCUGUCGCUGGAAACAAGGUCUCCAUCCCAUUUGCAUGACAUGAGCACAGUCGGGAUUUGUAUUCAUUCUGUGGGUGUGUGUAUAUUCGUGCUCUCCACAAAAGAACCACUCAGCAUUGCUUUUUCAAGCCGAGCUUUAAAAGGCUUAUUUGCCAUGACAUCCAGCACUUGUAAUUUGAGGUCAUACCCCGAGGAAGAAUUGCUAAAUCUGUGUAAAAUGUUUCUGACUCCUUUUCUUACAGAUUCUGUCAGAUUAUCUCUUUAAGAAUUCUAAGCCCAUGUUGUUUGAGGUGGUUUUAGGCUAAUGUACAUUCCCCAAACAUUUCUUUGCUGUUCAAAAUAAAGCAAUUGAGAGGGUUCUUCGUAAAAACGAAGCACUUUGCAAGAGCUCAAGACAAAAGACAACUCCCUUUUUUCUAGGGGGUAAUUUUGAGGAUAGAAGAAAAACAGUGUUCUAUGUAAGCCUGUACAAUCACGAGAGCCAUUUGCUGAGGGCCAUGUGUGCGAGUGGUUCGUGUGCUCUCCACCUCCUCUUCUUCCUCCCAGGGGAUGAAAUGAGGCCCAACAAGUGCAAGACAUGGACCAUGUCAGCUCGUGACAGAACAGGGCUGGAACCCAAGUCUGCUAGGCUCAGCCCACUCCCUCCCUGUGCCGAGUUGACAUAUUCUACUUACAUUAAGCCAAGUGCUGGGCUCUGAUUAUACAAAAUCAGAUAAGCCAGGACCCUGUGUUCAAGGAGCUCCCAGGCCUGCUGGGGUGAGAGUGGAGCAGCAAGGAUGGAAGUGCACAGAUGCAAGGGUGGCCAGGCCUAUGGGGAUACAGGCAAGGGAGGCUGAGUGUU
rnacentral:lncRNA from 10 species